rnacentral:pre_miRNA from 1 species
AUUGGGAUUGCUGGGUCAUAUGGCAGAUCCAUGUUUAACUUUUUGAGAAACUGCCAAACUGUUACCCAGAGUGGCUGUACCAUUUUACAUUCCCAUCAGCAAU